rnacentral:rRNA from 1 species
AGCGAACGCUGGCGGCAGGCCUAACACAUGCAAGUCGAACGAAGCCUUCGGGCUUAGUGGCGGACGGGUGAGUAACACGUGGGAACGUACCUUUUGGUUCGGAAUAACGCAGGGAAAUUUGCGCUAAUACCGAAUGAGCCCUUAGGGGAAAGAUUUAUCGCCGAAAGAUCGGCCCGCGUUGGAUUAGGUAGUUGGUGUGGUAAAGGCGCACCAAGCCUACGAUCCAUAGCUGGUCUGAGAGGAUGAUCAGCCACACUGGGACUGAGACACGGCCCAGACUCCUACGGGAGGCAGCAGGGGGGAAUCUUGCGCAAUGGGCGAAAGCCUGACGCAGCCAUGCCGCGUGAAUGAUGAAGGUCUUAGGAUUGUAAAAUUCUUUUACCAGGGACGAUAAUGACGGUACCUGGAGAAAAAGCCCCGGCUAACUUCGUGCCAGCCGCCGCGGUAAAAC